AAUCAACGCUGGCGGCGUGCCUCAGACAUGCAAGUCGAACGCGAAAGGUUCCUUCGGGAGCCGAGUAGAGUGGCGCUCGGGUGAGUAACACGUAGGUAAUUUGCCUUUGGGUGGGGAAUAACAAUCGGAAACGGUUGCUAAUACCGCAUAAUGCAGCGGCUCGACAUCGAGACAGUUGUUAAAGCGGGGGAGUCCUUCGGACCGUCGCGCCUAAAGAGAAGCCUGCGGCGGAUUAGCAGUUGGUGAGGUAAUGGCUCACCAAGGCGACGAUCCGUAACCGGCCGUGAGAGGGCGGACGGUCACACUGACACUUAAAUACGGGUCAGAC
rnacentral:rRNA from 1 species